GACAGAGGGUGCAAACGUUGUUCGGAAUUACUGGGCGUAAAGCGCGUGUAGGCUGCUCGGAAAGUCGGAUGUGAAAGCCCUGGGCUCAACCUAGGAAGUGCAUUCGAAACUUCCGAGCUGGAGUUCUGGAGAGGAAGGCGGAAUUCUCGGUGUAGAGGUGAAAUUCGUAGAUAUCGAGAGGAACACCGGUGGCGAAGGCGGCCGUCUGGACAGUGACUGACGCUGAGACGCGAAAGCGUGGGGAGCAAACAGG
rnacentral:rRNA from 1 species